AACGAGUGGAGCAAGCGUUAUCCACACUGACUGGGCGUAAAGGGCACGUAGGCGGAUCACGGCAUGUGUGCUGUGAAAUCUUGUAGUAAAACUAUAAGAAUCGGUACUGACGGGUGAUCUUGAGUAAGGCUCAUGUUUAUAGCAUGCUAGUUGGAAGGGUGGAAUCUUGAUAUAGCUAGAGGAAUGCCGUAUUUGGUGAAGACGUUAUUCGAGAGUUUACUGACGCUGAGGUGCGAAAGCGUGGGGAUCAAAUAGG
rnacentral:rRNA from 1 species